GAUCCUGGCUCAGGAUGAACGCUAGCGGCAGGCUUAACACAUGCAAGUCGAGGGGCAGCGCGAGUAGCAAUACUUGGCGGCGACCGGCGCAAGGGUGCGUAACGCGUGAGCAACAUGCCCGUAUCAGGGGGAUAAUCCAGGGAAACUUGGUCUAAUACCCCAUAGUAAUUUUGUAAGGCAUCUUAUAAGAUUUAAAGCUUUGGUGGAUACGGAUUGGCUCGCGUGACAUUAGCUGGAUGGUAAGGUAACGGCUUACCAUGGCUAUGAUGUCUAGGGGUUCUGAGAGGAAGGUCCCCCACACUGGAACUGAGACACGGUCCAGACUCCUACGGGAGGCAGCAGUGAGGAAUAUUGGACAAUGGAUGGAAAUCUGAUCCAGCCAUGCCGCGUGAAGGAAGAAGGUCCUAUGGAUUGUAAACUUCUUUUGUAUGGGAGCAAUAAGGCCUACGAGUAGGUUGAUGAGAGUACCAUACGAAUAAGCACCGGCUAACUCCGUGCCAGCCGCCGC
rnacentral:rRNA from 1 species